rnacentral:rRNA from 1 species
AGGUUAAGUUAGGAAGGGCGCACGGUGGAUGCCUUGGCACUAGGAGCCGAAGAAGGACGGGACUAACACCGAUAGUGCUUUGGGGAGCUGUACGUAAGCGUUGAUCCAGAGAUUUCCGAAUGGGGGAACCCACUAUCUUUAGUCGGAUAGUAUCCUUAUGGUGAAUACAUAGCCAUAAGGAAGGCAGACCCAAGGGGAAACAGAAACAUGACUAAGUAACCGUGAGGAAGAAGAAAAGAAAAAUCGUAUUUCCUGAGUUAGGACGGCGAGCGAAACGGAAAGAGCCCAAACCCAAGAAGCUUGACUUCUUGGGGUUGUAGGACGACUCUUAUAGGAGUUACAAAGAAGGAUGAUAGAUGAAGCGGUCUGGAAAGGCCGCCAGAGACGGUAAUAGCCCGGUAGUUGAAAUGUGCUUCUCUCCAGAGUGGAUCCUGAGUA